rnacentral:rRNA from 1 species
UACGUAGGGUGCAAGCGUUGUCCGGAAUUAUUGGGCGUAAAGAGCUCGUAGGCGGUCUGUCGCGUCUGCUGUGAAAACUCGGGGCUUAACCCCGGGCCUGCAGUGGGUACGGGCAGACUAGAGUGCGGUAGGGGGAGACUGGAAUUCCUGGUGUAGCGGUGAAAUGCGCAGAUAUCAGGAGGGAACACCGGUGGCGAAGGCGGGUCUCUGGGCCGUAACUGACGCUGGAGGAGCGAAAGCGUGGGGAGCGAACGG